rnacentral:lncRNA from 1 species
UAGGUACCAAAUCAGAUCUGCAACAUCAAUUAUUAUUGAAAUCCAACAACCAUGAAGGAGGUUCUUGUGGUUUUUGCUUUCAUGGCUCUAGUAUCGAGCGCUGCCUGCACACAGAUAGGCGGUUGCACCUGUGGUCCACAACAAAGCCAUGAACAACAACAUCAUCCACAAAAACAGCAACAUCAACCACCACCACCACAACAACAACAACAACAACAACAGCAUCACCAACAACCACAGCACCAACAACAAAAAGUUCACAUGCAGCAGAAACAACAUCACCAACAACAAGAUGUUCAUGUUCAUCAGCAACAAGAAGUCCAUGUGAAACAACAACCACAGCACCAACAACAACAUCAAUGUGAAGGCCAGCAACAGCAUCACCAACAAUCACAAGGCCAUGGGCAACAACAAGGACAGAGCCAUGAGAAACAACAUCAACAACAAUUCCAGGGUCAUGAGAAGCCACAACAACCACACCAGCAACAAUGUCAGGGUUAUGUGCACCAACAGCCACCGCAACAUCAACAAUGUCAACAGGGCCAGGAGCAACUACAACAGCAUCAAUGUCAUUGCCAAGAGCAGCCAUUGCAACAACCAAAGCACUGCCAAAAAGGGUGUGAGCAGCAACAAACUACAAGGUGCAGUUCUAGCUACUGUAGUGGUAGCAUAAAUCUAAAAAAUUGCCAUGAAUUCCUCAGGCAACAGUGCAACCCUUUGGUAAUGCCUUUUCUCCAAUCACAUUUGGUACAACCAAGCAACUGCCAAGUGUUACAACAGCAAUGUUGUCACGAGCUUAGGCAGAUCGAGCCACAAUACCUUCACCAAGCGAUCUAUAGCAUGACUCAAUCCAUAAUCCAACAACAACAACAACAACCAUGUGAGUUUUGUGGAGCUCAACUAGCUACUCAAAGUGAGGUGGCGAUAUUGACGGCAGCGCAGUACCUACCAUCAAUGUGUGGCUUGUACCACUCAUGCUACCAAAACAAUCCAUGUAGCAGUAAUGAUGCUUGUGGUGUUCACAGUUAAAUUAUUGUGGCUAGCUAGCCGUUAUAGUCUUAUAACGGUGUAAAGCAAUAAAAUGCCAUACAUCAUGGUGUUUGGACAACGAUAUCUAAAUAAGAAUACUAUCUAUAAUGUGGCAUGUGCCUGUGGUGUCAACAACCUAGUCUUUGUGGUCAUAGUAGAUAGGGUAGUUUGUUGUUGAGCAUGGUUGCGCAUAUUAGUCAGUGUGUGGACAUAUGUGGCAUGUGCCUAUGGUGUGAGCGACCUGGUCUUAGUGGUCACGAUAGAUAGGGUACUUUGUUGUUGAGGCAUUGGCUCCUAAUUGUAAUCCUAUUUCUAUGUACAUAAUCCUAGCAUCUAAGCAUGUAGUUGGCCACAAUCUCAUGAUCAGCCUCUAGUGCUUUGGCACCUCGAUAUCUACCGUGGCAUGUGCAUGUGGUGUUAGCAACCUAGUCUUAGUGGUCACAACAGAUAGGGUAGUUUUCUGUUGGGCCAUUGGCUCCUAACUGUAAUCAUAUUUCUAUGUACAUGAUCUUAGCAUAUAGGCAUGUUUUUGUGUACAUGAUCCUAGCAUCUAGGAAUGGUGGCUAGCCACAAUCUCACGAUCGACCUCUAGUGCUUUGGCACCUCCAUAUCUACUGGCACACUGUGACAAAUGGAAAUUGAGCAUUCUCUAAUUUCCCUCUCUUAUAAUGGGAAUGGCAAGGACUACACACUCUAAUUUAUCACGUCAUCUACUUCUGAGGGGAGCUCAAAAUAAUGAGGCCGGUGGAUCUAGUGUAGCUCAAGAUAAUAUUUAUUUACUAAUGACCACCAGCCACACAAAUGUUACACCUUCUCAUACAAAGUCUUUUGUUGAGAUGCAACAUAAAAUGGUUGCCAUGUAGACUCAUCUUAUCUAGAUGCAAAGAAAGUGAAAGGUCCUAAUAUGGCUAGAGGGGGGGUGAAUAGCCUAUUUAAAAAAAAUUCUACAAACUCACUAGAGCAAAAGGUUAGUAAAUAACAAAGCCAAGCUUUUUGCUCUAGCUCUAAAGGGGUGUUUGCAAGCCACCUACCCAACAAUUCAAGUUGCUAAGAUCUCUAUGCACACAAGAACUAAGACUUUACAAGUUACACUAGAGAACUAAGCUACACAAGUCAAAGUAAGCAACUAAACUAAUUACACUAGUUUGCGGUAAGUAAAGAUAAGAUGAGAUAUUUAUACCGCCGUGUAGGGGAUGAACCAAUCACCAAUAUAAACAAUCAAGCACCGGGAGAAUGCCAAUCAAACACAAUUGAGACACCGAUUUUUCUCCCGAGGUUCACGUGCUUGCCGGCACGCUACGUCCCUGUUGUGUCGACCAACACUUGGUGGUUCGGUGGCUAAGAGGUGUAGCACGAACCUCGUCCUCACUAGGACACCACAAAAACCUACCCACAAGUGAGGUAGCUCAAUGACACGAGUAAUCCACUAAUGUUGCCUUUGGCUCUCCGCCGAGGUAGGCACAAACCUCUCACAAUCACCGGGAGAUGGCCACGAACAAUCACCAACUCGUGCCAAUCCUCCUCCGCUGCUCCAAGCCGUCUAGGUGGCGGCAACCACCAAGAGUAACAAGAAAACCGCAGCCAAAUCGAUCCCCAAGUGCCACUAGAUGCAAUCACUCAAGCAAAUGCACUUGGAAUCACUCCCAAUCUCACAAAGAUGUUUAAUCUAUGAAGGAGAUGAGUGGGAGGAGUUUGCUUAGGCUCACAAGGAUGUCAAGUAUGUUAGAAUGCCAAGAGUAUGAGCCCCAAGCCGGCCAAACACAUAUUUAUAGCCCCUCAAACAAAUAGAGCCGUUGGCUCUUUCACUGGGCAAAACUCGGGGUCACCGGACGCUCUUAAAGGGGCACCGGACGCUCAACACCAGCGUCCGGUGCUCCAACAACAGCCGCGUGUCAGAGCCUAACGGUAACCUGCAGAGCACCGGACACAAGCCACCGGACGCACCCUCAGCGUCCGGUGCUCACCGGACCCAUGCGCAGAGGGUUCCGCAAACUCGCAGGUUCACCGGACGCAAGCCACCGGACGCACCCUCAGCGUCCGGUGCUCACCGGACCCAUGCGCAGAGAGGGUCGCAAAACGCACGCACACCGGACGCACACCACCGGACGCUCAAGCCAGCGUCCGGUGCCUAUCGUCCGGUGCCUUACCCUAGCUGGGCCAGGCACUGUCUGCACACCGGACGCUCAUACACAGCGUCCGGUGCCUCUAAGCCAGCGUCCGGUGAGUGUUUUCUCAGCGAGAAACACUCCCGCGACUUCACCAAAUUUCCCUCCGGCGCAAUAGAAAAUAUGCACUUCAUUUUCUCGAAAAGCGCCGAAUCCCGCCUCGCAAGCUCGGCGGGAGGGAGAGAGGAACCCAUCCUCUCUUAACCCUUCAAACUUCAACACCCUUCUCAAAGUGUGCCAACACCACAAUGUGUAAACCAACAUGUGCACGAGUGUUAGCAUUUUCACAAUCAUUUUCUUCGAAGGAGUUAAGUUAGCUCACUAGGUUUUAAAUGCAUGCACAUGAACAAUGACACCUAGUGGCACUUGAUAACCGCUUAGCCAAAGAAUUCCCCUCUUUAUAGUACGGCUAUCUAUCCUAAAUGUGAUCACACCCUCUAUGGUGUCUUGAUCACUAAAACCAAAACCCUAAGCAAUACCUUUGCCUUGAUCUCCAUAGGGUUUGUUUUUCUCUUUCUUCUUUUCUAAGUUGAGCACUUGAUCAUCUUGUGGUCAUCACCAUCAUCACCAUGAUCAUCACUUGCUCCAUCACUUGGCAUGUACCAACCUUAUUAAGUCUACACACACUUAGUAUAGAGGUUAGUACUUAGGGUUUCAUCAAUUAUCCAAAACCAAACUAGGGCUUUCAGAAAGGAGUCAAAGAAGUUUCGAUGCUUAGCAACAUUGUCCUGACAGCCAACACGAGGCUCUCACUUCAUCCAUUAGAGGGCAGAUGCCCUUCUUGACCAACCGAGGAAGGACCAUGCUAAGACAUCCUCUCAGUUGAACUAUAUGUAUCCACAGACAAGCCUUGGACCCCCUCGAUAUUGGCAAUCCUUAGCUUGAAUAAUUUUAUCACUAAUUUCCAUUCAAGAUAAGAAUUAAAUUACAAUCACGAUAGUCGAUAGUUAUAGGGUUUAAUUAUAAUCAGUUCUACAAGUUUGGCGGUCAUUUGAACUAGACAUUUUUUGCCCAAACAGGGGUCGGACAACCAAGCCCAUGGUAUGUUGAUGUUAUACCCGGUUUUAAGAAUAAAACAAGAAUCAAUUUGCAAACAUACAUCAACAUCAUAAGUGAAGAACAAUUUAUUAAAUAAGCAAAAAUAUAUAUUGGUUUUUGUUUCCUAAAAAACAAGUUUAGUCUAUGAAGAAUCAUAACUAAUUUAAUUUAGACCGGACAAAUACGAAGCUACUAGUUAUUUUUAAAACAUGAUACCUAUCAAUUGGUGAUCUAUUAAGGUCUAUUUUGGAACUUAUUAUUUUUUGUACAUAUUGUUUUGUUGCUCGUACUGAAACACUAAGAACAUGCACAAAUACAGUUCAAAUAACUCAAAAAGGAACACCAAUAGAUAGGUAACAUUUAAAGCAAAAAAUAUAAUUGUGACAUAUUUUUAUAAUUUGAGAUAAUUACUUAAGGGUCUGUUUGGAUAUCAACUACCAAAGCAGGAGGCCCUACCUAUAGUUCUCUCAAUUUGGCAGCGCCUCGUACGUGCUUGGUGCCAUAACCAGAUAACCAUGUUGUGCUGAUUGCAAAAAGAGCAUUGUGUGUACACUAAUCAGGGAUAGCAGAUAGUAGUGCGCAUUGUGACCGGUCUCAAGGCACCACUACUUGUCUAAAACAAGUCACAAGUUUCAAACGUCGGAGAUUGGUCAGUGGUCUCCUCUCCUGGUCGAGUAUUUCUAUUCUUUUCUUUUACUAGCAAAACGUGCCCGUGCGUUGCAACGGGGUAUAGAAUUUAUUAUUUGAUAAUUGUACACUUUUUGUAAAAUUUAAAUGAGUUUAGUCCAACCUGAAUCAAAUAAAUAUAACCCCACCAAAACAAACAAAACUACCAAACUAAUAUCGAAAAUCACCUUGAGAAGAAAUAGAAAAAAAAUCAUGUCACAUAAAAAAAUCAGAAAUCUUUAUGUACAGUGGAGGAAAAGGAGUAAAAAAUGAUAUAAAAAUAUGUAUAGAAAUUAAAAUGGGAAGAAUAUUACGUAAAGAAAACAUAAAAGCAUCAGAUGAGGGAACAAUUCCAUCAAACAGCACGUCAGAUCACUCCACUUUUAUUGUCGCUCAGUGCAAUCCAAAGCAAAACCCGCGGCACAGCUAGUGACAAAAGCCUACAGCCACAGCCGCCACAUAAUAAUACAAUUAAUAGGUAACGGUUCUCAACAUCCUUUCAUCAUAGCAUUUGUUUGAGACAUACAUGAACAAAGCAUAUGUAAUUCCGUAUGAUUAAGAGAAAAUACCUUGUGGCCAGCAUUGAUGCAUCACAAGAGAAGGAACAGCCGAUGAGAGGGCGAUCAUCUCCAAUCUCGCUAUACUCCAGGACAAACUUCUCAGCCUGCUUCACGACGAGUUCGGCCUCCGCCUCUAGGUCUUCAUCGGAAUCCUCGUGGCAGCGCUUGGCCAUCUCAAUCCUGGCCUUGGCACGGGGUAGCGAGUAUUGUGCAAUGUCGACACGCGCCUUGAGAAGCUCCUGUGUGCCCUUGGUGAAGAAGGGGUACUGGAUCUGCUCCUCCUCGCUGGUGCGUGCAGCGUGGUUGUCCUCCUGCGCGCGGAGACGGUCGACCUGGCCAUCGGCCUCGAGCCGGACCAUGAGGGCUCGGAGGCGGUCGUGGCGCUCCAUUUCGCGCUCGCCGAAGCGGCGGAGGCAGGCCCGCACGGCCAUGGCGUAGGCACGGCGCCGCUAGAGGAGCUCCUGCACCGAUUGCUCGUGACACUACCACGCGGCGCGGUGGUCGUCGGAGACCUCGUAGUCGGCCUCGCCUCUGCCCCUGGCGGAGGAAGUGGCGGCGGCGGGACGGUGAUGGGGAUUGGCAGGUGGACGGGGACGGGGAGCGGAGCCAUGGGAGGAGUGGGGGCCGGGGGCCACAAUUUUUUUUAAAAAAGUUGCUUUUCCUCAAUUUGGUAAUAUUGCAACGGAAGAAAAAUAUCAAAUAACCUUAGAAAGUGAUGACAUAAUGUUACAUAUCUAUUUAUAUUUAUCCUUUUUAUAAAAUUUAAAGUCCAUAAUUUAUUUUAUUAAUAACCAUAACAUCUAUGGUAUUAGAUAGUUAAUAUUUACAAUAAUAUGUAGCUUAAGGACAUAUUUAUUUAAUAAUAAAAAUAGAAAAUAGUUAAAUCUUAUCUCACUCUAAUAUUACCUCUUAAUAUGCCUCAGUAUUAUAUUAAAACAUGAGAAAUUUGAUGCUAGCAUUAUUUUUUAAUUUAGAUUAAGAUUGCUAUGAAAUAUGAAUCAAGCAUCACAUUAAAUAGGCUACCAUUAAAUUUUUAUAAUAAUUGGAGCAAGAUAACUAUAAUUUUAAUUUUACAGUAAAAAGCAUAGGCAAGCAUUUUCAAAAAAAAGUGUACUAAAAUUUAUGAUAUUUUUUGUUUACCGCAUGGAUCUACAUAUGUGGAGCUGAACAAAAUUUGUUUUAUAAUUUUUAGAUUUUUGUAUGAAUUAUUAUGUAUUUAUUAAUUUUCAGUCGAUUUAAAAAAUAAAAGAAAAGUAAAUUGGAGAUUUUACAUUGGGAACCUAGAAAAUUUUUUAUUUUUUUUCUCUCUUCCAUCGUAACGAUUCUGGGCUGAUUGGGCCUACAGAGAGGAGAGCGAAAGCGAAGUAAUAUGAGAUUUUACAUUAGGAACCCUAGAAUAUUUUUUAUUUUGUUUUUCCCCUUCUAGAAAAGUUGGAUGGAGGAGGCCAUCGGUAAACCGAACACGGACAAGAUCAGGGGCAAAAGAAAAUAUUUGGCAAACUAAAAUUUUGGCUCUUUAUAGAUAGGUAUAGAUUUGGGUUAAGAACAGUAGUCGGACAUUCCACUUUGUUAAGUUCUUUUUUUACAUAACAAGAAUAGAAUCACGCUCUGUAGGCUCGUCAGACCGUACCUUUCUAAGGAAGUCGCUUUGGGUAGUUCAGUUGGCGAGAAAAGCCUUCCUACCUUUGCAGGUCCAUCGGGCCGACUACAACCCGUGGCUCAAUCCCGGUUCUUGCGGUGUCUUGGCAACAUUCUUGUUGGAAGAUACCAGAAGGUUGCUCCACGGGUAAUCUUGACACGUAUGUAAAGUGAUGAGGAACAUUGAACGAACAUUGGCAUGUAAAGCUCUAUAAAUUGGUGUUAUCCAUAACAACUCGCAGAACAUCACAAAAUUGCACGUCAAGGGAUUGGGUCAGAAACAAAUCGUCUCCGUGUACAACGAAGUGGUGAGUCAUGAGCCAUGUUGAUCUGAUAUAUACAUAGCACACACGACAUCACAAACAAGUCAUACUACAUUACAGAGUUAGUUUCAACUUUCAAGUAAAAACAAAGUAGGCCGGAGAGAGGACAAUAAUCCUUGACGUGUAAAGUGAAUUUACAAAGCCAUAUAUCAAUUUAUAUCUAAUUCGUUUCAUGUAGAUAUCAACAACCUGUAAAAGGCAACAAAUUGAGCCACGCAAAAUUACAAGUGAGUCCAAAUAAACCCUCACAUGCUACAUAAAAGUGAAUGAUGAGUCAUGUAUAUCUGGCAAGAAACUGUAGAAGCUACAGUCAUCGGUAGCAAAGAAACACAAGAAAAUGUGCUAAUAAAAGCUAUAAAUAACCCUCGUACGCCUAUGCACAUCUCCAUCACCACCACUGGUCUUCAUUCAGCCUAUUAACUUAUAUCUAUCUACUCCAGAGCAGACAAGAACUCGACACCAUGAAGGUGUUGCUCGUUGCCCUCGCUCUCCUGGCUCUCGCGGCGAGCGCCGCCUCCACGCUUACAACCGGCGGCUGCGGCUGCCAGACACCUCAUCUACCACCACCGCCGGUUCAUCUGCCGCCGCCGGUGCAUCUGCCACCGCCGGUGCACCUGCCGCCGCCGGUUCACGUGCCACCGCCGCCACCACAAUGCCACCCACACCCUACUCUACCGCCCCACCCACAUCCAUGCGCUACAUACCCACCGCAUCCAAGCCCGUGCCACCCAGGGCAUCCCGGAUCCUGCGGUGUUGGCGGCGGCCCCGUCAC